AUGCCUUCACCUACUACCGUGGCAUAUCAUGUCCCCCCAACACAAUUACAGAAUUUCGGCAACAUCUCAUUGACAAAAGAGUCUAAAAGCAUCGAGGGGCAACCAUAUCCAGAUUGGGUAAUUGAGAAAAAGCUUACAUUCUCUUGGGAUUUGUGCAACGCUAUUCGCCAGGAACUAAUAGAUGGCGGGAAGCCUCAUGACUUUGCUACUGUAAAAGCAAGAGUUGUGCAAAUGAUGCAUUCGCCUAGUUCUGUAGCAACCAAUGUGCCCCCUAAACAAUUGCAAAGUUUCGGCACCUCAUUGCUAAAAGAGUCUCAAAGCAUUGGGGGGCAAUUUCAUGAGGAGUGGAUGCAAAUUGAGAUGAAAAAGUUUAAAGCUCGCCAAACUAAGAUGUGGGCUAAAAUAAGACAAGAGCGAGAAGGCUUGCAAAUUCAAAAAGAGAAAAGUAUUGAUUCAGGUAACAAAGAAAAUCCGGUUAUUGAAAAAGCCGAAUCAAAUAGUAUGUGUACCGAAUCUAUCGAAGAAAAAGAGGAUGCCAAGGCAUUGGACAGUUAUUCAAAAGUGGAACAUAGUAUUAUUCAAGUGAUAAAACCAUCAUGCUCUCCCAACGUGUAUGAAGAGGUAUGUCUACCAAGUGAUUUACCUAUUUUCAGAUUUGGUCACAACUUUAUUGUUGAUGCAUCUAUUAGAAAAAAUCUUAUAAGUAAUUUUGAAGGACCAAUGAUGAAGGGUAAUUUACUUGUGAGCAACAAAAUUGUUACAAAGUAUAUCGGUCAACCUAUUGUCCCAUUCAUAAAGACCGAUAGUGACUUAUUAUUGCAGCCAAAGGCUUCCCCAUUGCUUUACUUAAAACUUAUCUCUAAGGGGGUAGCUUUGCUUGUUUCAUACUUGGCUUUCACUUGGUCUCAAUUGAGACACGUGUGUUCUAACUAUUUUCGUUUCAAAAAUUUAAAGCCAAUGUUAAAUUCUUUUGAGAAAUCCGAUGCUAAUAUAAUAUCUUAUCCAAAGACAUCGGAUUUAGAGUGGAAAACACAAUGCAUAGCCGAAUGGGGAGAUUCCAAAUCUGUACCAUUUGUUUGCUUACCUCCAAAGCCGUUCGUACACCAAGAUCGGCUAGAAAACAAGAAGUAUACCUUCAACUCAAGCAUGUGUGAUCAAAUAUUUGAUUUGUUGCUGAAAAAUAAUUACAUUAGAAUUCUUGAUCACUAUGUCAAGCCAUCCAUCCAGGGACGAAUGUAUUGCAAGUUGCAUGAUUCGUCCAAGCAUAAUUUCGAGGAUUGCAACAUGUUUUGUCAAAUAGUUAAAUCGGCCAUUGAUAAGGGACGAUUGAAAUUUGUUGAAACACCGACAGAUGACCAGUCUAUUCCAAUUGGUCCUGAUGGCAAAAACUUUUUGCAUCGGCUGCUUCAAGCCGAUCCAUUAAAGAGAAGGUAA
rnacentral:rRNA from 1 species